rnacentral:lncRNA from 1 species
CAGGACAUUGAUUCAGUCAAGCAGAUAGGCUUAUGGGUUCACUGUAGCAACCUACUUAGAGCUUGACUGAACUUUAAAGCCCUUAUGUCCUGGUACCUUCAAUGAAAGGUGCCGCGCAGGAAAACAUGAAUGAAAAAGUAACUCAAGAAGGAGGCAAAAUAGAUAUAAAUGACAUAGAAUUGGAAGUGAAAGCAGAUAUAAAUAGUUCUAAAGGAAGGUCAGCCCACUGGAAUCAGAUAGUCCUUCAGGGGCCAGCUUGCCUGCCAAUGGACCAGACCCAGCAGCUGCAACUGGACCCUUUUGUCCCUGGUCUCCUCCUGACGUGGACAAUUGGCCAGAGUGCCCCAACCGACACUGUUAAAUAAGCCACGUUUGCACAUUAUUGGCUGAUGUAUUUUGCUGGGUAUUUUGAGGAAAAUACAACUGUGAUCAUCAAAAUCCUGAACAUAUUAUCAGUCGAGACAUAAAA